UUUCCUGAAUCAAAAACUCGUUUUUGAAUGAAAUCCGCUCGAAGAAAGAAUGAUGGAAAAUACCGGAGGAAUCGCAAUGAGCUGCACGAACAAAAAAGAUGGAUUUCAUUAAGGCACUUAGAUUUUGUACUGCUUCUGUUACUGUGUCUGAGGAGGAAGCUGCCAACUACAAUUUCAGGACAUGGAUUGCUCGGUUUUACACCAAAGGUACUUGCUUUCGACGAUUCUGAGGCUUCUUGUUCUUCUGUGUUCUACCUGAUUUUGUCUAUUUUCUGGGAUUAUUUACCUGGCUAAGUUAAUUGGCUUGACAUUGCUGCAGGGGAAUUGAAAUUUGAGAUAGACCAUAGAGAACCGAGAAUGUAAAACAUUUGGUACUAUAGAUAUCUCGGUGAAUGCAUGGAAAUAUGGAAUGGUUGAUACUUUCAUCUUAUGAUAGUAGAAUAAAUGGAAUGGAACAUUCGUUUGCAGCCAAGGAAAGACCUCUAGAAAGUAGAAGCUUUUAGUCUGAGUUCUUCUACUUGAACUGCUCUCGUUUGGAUAAUGAUAGGAAGAUAUUCUUGAAAAAAAGUAAAUCCAAAAAAUAUUAGGACUGAAUCUUGGAAUCUAGGAACGUGCUCUAACUUUCCCUUCAUUUCUGUAAAUCGAAUCUUAUUUAUCCUACGUAUAACAAGUUCAUUUGAAAAUAUUACAUGGGGUUAUGGAAUUAUAGCUUGUGCAGGAUAAGAUGAGCACCAAACUGUGGGUGAAUGGUGAAUACUGUGUAUGGCGCAUGAACAUAGGAAGGAGAUAGCUCCAAGGAGAAUCUGUGUAGGAUCAAUGCCAUUGCCAUCUUUGCCUCCAACAGAGCAAAAUUCUGGCCUAUGCAUAU
rnacentral:lncRNA from 1 species